rnacentral:rRNA from 1 species
GACGAACGCUGGCGGCGUGCCUAAUACAUGCAAGUCGAGCGAAUGGAUGGGAGCUUGCUCCCUGAAAUUAGCGGCGGACGGGUGAGUAACACGUGGGCAACCUGCCUAUAAGACUGGGAUAACUUCGGGAAACCGGAGCUAAUACCGGAUAAUUCAUAUCUACUCAUGUAGAUAUGCUGAAAGACGGUUUCGGCUGUCACUUAUAGAUGGGCCCGCGGCGCAUUAGCUAGUUGGUGAGGUAACGGCUCAUCAAGGCGACGAUGCGUAGCCGACCUGAGAGGGUGAUCGGCCACACUGGGACUGAGACACGGCCCAGACUCCUACGGGAGGCAGCAGUAGGGAAUCUUCCGCAAUGGACGAAAGUCUGACGGAGCAACGCCGCGUGAGUGAUGAAGGUUUUCGGAUCGUAAAACUCUGUUGUUAGGGAAGAAUAAGUACCAGAGUAACUGCUGGUACCUUGACGGUACCUAACCAGAAAGCCACGGCUAACUACGUGCCAGCCGCCGCGGUAACAC